UCUCCUUUCCGUAAAUUAACUCCAUCCCCUUUUUCCUAGCAUGAAACUUCAGAUAUACUUGAAGAUAAUAAGUUCUGAUAAACUUCUGAUAUAUACUGAUGCAUGAAAUAUUAGAUUCCUAGCCAGCUUAAUUAUUUUUCUUUGAAAAGCUUUUGUUUCUGGUGGCAGGCUACAAAGGGGGUGAAGAAGGGUUGUCAAUUAAGCUGACUACGGAUGAGGACGCUUUUGUUGACAGAAGAUAGAGAGCACAACUGAACAUACCCAGAAAAGGCCUGUGUAUGAGCAGCCUUGUGCUCUCUUUUCUUCUGUCAAUGGAAUUUUCUGUCAGAGUUCAGCUCAUUCGCUUUCAUCAGCAUACCAAGUUCAGUUCAACCCAAGGAAUUCUCCUUCUGAUGAGAUCAAUUAGUGUACCAGAGAUUAAAUUGAGGGACAUUAGAAUCUGCUCGAUUCUGAGUGCAAUCUUAAAAAACAUCCAAUUCGGAUUCCACAUCAAAUCAUGCGCGUUCUAAUACACAGCUUAGCAGCCAGGCGAUUUCUCCAGGAUCUCGGGCACUGGACAGCGUAUUUGUGCUUGGGAAGAUCAAUGCCAACGCCUGGAAUUAGAGGGGGAAUAAUGCCAAUGCCAGGGAUUAGAGGGGAACGAGGAACCAAAUCUCAGGCAGCCGCACUGCUAUGCAACCAUGAGCAAGGGCAAUAUUGUUUGCACCAGACCUCUUCAUGGCUUUUCCUUCCACUGAUUCUUAACAUUUACCCCUAAUCACUCUGAAAAGUUGUUGUGAUUCGGCCAAAAUUGCAAAAACCAGAAUCUAAAGGCUUGGAACCCCAAGAAUCUAUGGAAAUUCCAUAAAUCACUGUGCCUUAUUUUUUGUGGCUGCUGACUACUGUGAUUGAAUUCAACCAUGAUUGAAAUCAUUUACAUUCUGAUAACAUAUAAUUUUUAGUCAUUUAUAAAGACAGAAUCAGGAAUUCAUCA